ACGAACGCUGGCGGCAUGCCUAACACAUGCAAGUCGAACGAGACCUUCGGGUCUAGUGGCGCACGGGUGCGUAACGCGUGGGAACCUGCCUUUAGGUUCGGAAUAACUCAGAGAAAUUUGAGCUAAUACCGGAUGAUGUCUUCGGACCAAAGAUUUAUCGCCUUUAGAUGGGCCCGCGUUGGAUUAGCUAGUUGGUGGGGUAAAGGCCUACCAAGGCGACGAUCCAUAGCUGGUCUGAGAGGAUGAUCAGCCACACUGGGACUGAGACACGGCCCAGACUCCUACGGGAGGGAGAAGUGGGGAAUUUGGGAAAAGGGGCGAAAGCCUGAUCCAGCAAUGCCGCGUGAGUGAUGAAGGCCUUAGGGUUGUAAAGCUCUUUUACCCGAGAUGAUAAUGACGGUACCGGGAAAAAAAGCCCCGGCUAACUCCGU
rnacentral:rRNA from 1 species